rnacentral:rRNA from 1 species
GACGAACGCUGGCGGCGUGCCUAAUACAUGCAAGUCGAACGGAGAUUAAGUAGCUUGCUAUUUAAUCUUAGUGGCGCACGGGUGAGUAAUAUAUAGCUAACUUGCCCAUUACUAAGGGACAACAGUUGGAAACGACUGCUAAUACCUUAUACUCCGUAUCUAUAUAAGUAGAUACGGGAAAGUUUUUCGGUAAUGGAUAGGGCUAUAUCGUAUCAGCUAGUUGGUAAGGUAAUGGCUUACCAAGGCUAUGACGCGUAACUGGUCUGAGAGGAUGAUCAGUCACACUGGAACUGAGACACGGUCCAGACUCCUACGGGAGGCAGCAGUAGGGAAUAUUGCUCAAUGGGGGAAACCCUGAAGCAGCAACGCCGCGUGGAGGAUGACACUUUUCGGAGCGUAAACUCCUUUUCUUGGGAAAGAAUUAUGACGGUACCCAAGGAAUAAGCACCGGCUAACUCCGUG